AGUAAAGGCCAAAGAAAAAUAAUCAUAAUACCUUUGUUCUCCUGAGCACAUUAAUCACAGUGGGAGGCAAGAGACUUUCAAUAGGUUUUGUUCUAUGAAAGAUACAAAUUUUAAGGACAGAAUGUGUGGCAAAUAAUAGGACAACAUCUCCAUCAGUGAUUAUUACAGGCUGAUUGAGAGAAUUUAGAAAGCAUACUCUGUAAGUAAU
rnacentral:lncRNA from 1 species